rnacentral:lncRNA from 1 species
CAGCCUCUAAAAUGGUUGUCAAUACCUAACCACUACCUAACUUCUCAAAAAUCGGACUUUUUUAGUUUGCGAAUGUGACACCACUCUAGCUACUUUGCCUUAGCCUACUUUAAUUGAAUUGAAUGCUCCAAAGUUUCACUCAUAGCCUGUAUCUUUCCAAUCCUUCUCUUAAGCUACCAUCACAUGCAAUUAAAGUUCUGGAAAAUUGAGGGGCGACUAACAUAGAGCAACUUUAUCAAAAAGCCGUGCAUUUUCAACCUUACAAAUUCUUCUUCUUUGUUACAAGUCUCAGUUUAUAUAUUGUGUGAACUGUAGAUUUUGAGGGCUUAAAAACAAAGGAUGAUGGGUGAGGGCGCAAAAGAAAAAGAAAAAGAAAAAAGCUGGUGGGUUUUUCUUGGAGUUUGCUGACCAGUGACCAGGAUCUCAAGAGUAGACAAUUAAUAUACGUCUAAUGGAGUCAUAAAGAUGGCGAUUGUUUGGCUGCAUUAUAUCA